rnacentral:rRNA from 1 species
UACGGAGGGAGCAAGCGUUACCCGGAAUUAUUGGGCGUAAAGGGCGCGUAGGCGAUUUGAAAAGUCUUGUGUGAAAGCCCCGAGCUUAACUCGGGAAGUGCACAAGAAACUGUUGAAUUUGAGUUCCGGAGAGGAAGGCAGAAUUCCCGGUGUAGCGGUGAAAUGCGUAGAUAUCGGGAGGAAUACCAGUGGCGAAGGCGGCCUUCUGGACGGAUACUGACGCUGAGGCGCGAAAGCCAGGGGAGCAAACGGG